rnacentral:snRNA from 10 species
GGAUGUGAGGGUGAUCUGGCUGAGACAUCUGUCACCCCACUGAUUGCCAGAGUUGAUUCGGCUGAUCUGGCUGCCUAGACGGGUUCCCCUUCCUCCCUCACCGCUCCAUGUGCAUCCCUCCCAAAGCUGCGUGCUCGGCUGAAGAGGAUGACCAUCCCCGAUAGAGGAGGACCGGUCUUCAGUCAAGGGUAUACAAGUAGCUGCACUCCUCUGCUAGAACCUCCAAACAAGUUCUCAAGGAAAGAAGGCAGACUGCAAAUUAAUUAGUUAGGCAUACAUCACAAGAAGUUAGAAAAAGAAUAGCAAAAUAACACCAAUAGAGUAGAAGGAUAGAAUUAUUU